rnacentral:lncRNA from 1 species
UAGGGUUUCAGCUGUGCCAGGGAGGGGUAGAGAUUGAGGGAGGGAGAGAGAUAGGAAGAAAGUGAGAAUCAGGUAGAGAGAAGGUGGAGAGAGUGUAAAAACAGAGAUGGAGUGGCAGAAAGGCUGGAAGACAGCUGAUGUUAAGUGUUAUCCUGAGGCGGCGUUGGUGGAAUUUUUCGAUGGGGUCCAGGCUUCCACACUGUAUAGCAGGGUAGGAAUGAUCGCACACACACACGCACACAAACUGUGGUGGAAAACUGUCCUAUACCCCCCUCCUUCUUAAUCACAUACGCGCAUGAAACUGAACAGGCAAAGAGCCUGGGUCUGUAUCAAACACAUGUAGAGCAGAAUAAGUCAAAGAGCAGUAAUUGGAUAGAGAUGUUUCGGAUGUUACUGAGACAGAAUCCUGGAAGUUUUCAGUACUGCAGUGACAGUGAGAGUGAGAGGGGAGGGAGGGAGAGGGAAUAGACAGAGCGAGGC